ACGCUACACUUUACACUUUACACAUUAUACCCUUCCUCCCCAAAGAUCAAAACCCAGCCAAAGCCCUAAGGAAUGAAGAGCAAAUUGAUUAAAAAUCAAACAAAUCCCUUUCUAUCAACCUCCCAGCCUUCAGCCUUGAGCUGAUGCAAGUUAACGGGUGUGAGUGGCAUACCGGUUUGGAGGUAAUGGAUAAUGUUUUCGAGGACUUCGCCUGUUAAGGAUGGGCCUAUGGAGUCGGGAGCGGGGGCGACGUGGGGAGAUAGGAUCUGAAGGAAGAAAUGCAGGGAGAGGGUGGGUCAGCAAUGUCUGGAUGCGGGGGGAAAAUAUGGGAAAGAAAGGGGACAGGGGAAAGAAGAGGAGAGGAGAAAAGGGAGAAGAGAGGGGAGAGAGAGAAGGACGUACGACAUUGGGAUUCGUGAGGAGAUUUGGGUGGACGGCAGCAAAGGAAGAAGAGCAAGAAACGCAAGAUGAGAAACCCAAAGCGAAAAAUGAAAACGAAAAACCCACCUUUGCCGCUCUCCAAAGCCUCCACCAAAUCGUCCUCCUUCACGACCUUUCCCCGACUCACAUUGACCAAAAUCACGCCAUCUUUCAUCUUUCCAAACGCUUCCCGCCCAAUCAUACCUUCUGUCUCUUUUGUCAAUGGGCAUGUGAGGAUGAUGACAUUCGACUGGGCGUAAAGAUCGUCCCGAUUGGGAAGGUAUGUCCAUUCUGGAUUGGAUGCGGCGUGGAGGGAUGGGCGGCGGGAAUGGUAGAGGAUGGAAGUGGCGCCGAUGGAGGAUAGAAGGAAAGCGAGGUGGGAUCCGAUUGAUCCAAGGCCUAUGAUGCCUAUCUGUAUUCGUCUGAAUUAAUGUUCAUCCGUCCUGUAAAGAGAUGUGAAGAAGAACAAUCAUCGCCUACGACUUACUUUGGCGGUCUUCCAAUCAACAGUUCUGACGCCCCUAUCUACCCAUACUCCCUUCCUUACACUCAUAUCAUACCUCACAACUCCCCUCAUUGCCGCCAACGUCAGUACCAGUGCCCCUUCGGCCGUUCUCUUGCCCACAAUGGUGGGUGCAUUGGCGUACAUGGCUCCGACGGAAGUAAACCAUGGGACGUCGACUUUGUCAUAACCCGCCCCGGGACCGACGAAGAGCUUGCAGGAUGGUAAAAGUGGGGAGAGAAGGGUGGCGUCCCAUCGAUUCGGGACGGUGUCUGUACUAAUUAUAUUUAGAUGACUCACCCCAAAAGCGACAAAGCCUCCACCGACUUGUUCCACUUUUUGUUUGAUCAACUCUACCGUCUCGUCGUACGUAACUUUGGGAAGAGUAUGUACCUCGGCGAUUUGGUGGAUCUGCUUAUCAAAGGUUUCGUGGCCGCCCAGGUCGCCAAUAAAGAGGACUUUGGGUUUGUUUGUAGAGGAUGGAUAUGAGGAUGCGGGUGGUGGUGUGGAUGGAGAGGAGGAGGGGGGUGAUGAGAAGUAGACUGACGAGGAAAAGGAGGAGGGGCUUGAAAAGGACAUGGUGUUGUUGAUUAUUGUUGAUCGUGGUGCGAUGUAUAGUAGGACCCUCGAGUGGCUAUGCAGAUACUGUCGUGCGUUGUAUGUGGUGUAUGAAAA
rnacentral:sRNA from 1 species